UGGGGAAUAUUGCGCAAUGGGCGAAAGCCUGACGCAGCGACGCCGCGUGAGGGAUGAAGGUUUUCGGAUCGUAAACCUCUGUCAGAAGGGAAGAAACCGCACUGUGCUAAUCAGCAGUGCCUUGACGGUACCUUCAAAGGAAGCACCGGCUAACUCCGUGCCAGCAGCCGCGGUAAUACGGAGGGUGCAAGCGUUAAUCGGAAUUACUGGGCGUAAAGCGAACGUAGGCUGCUUUGUAAGUCAGGGGUGAAAUCCCACGGCUCAACCGUGGAACUGCCUUUGAUACUGCUUAGCUUGGAUCCGGGGGAGGGUGGCGGAAUUCCAGGUGUAGGAGUGAAAUCCGUAGAUAUCUGGAGGAACAUCAGUGGCGAAGGCAGCCACCUGGACAGGUAUUGACGCUGAGGUGCGAAAGCGUGGGGAGCAAACAGG
rnacentral:rRNA from 1 species